GCCUCAAUAGUAUAAUAAAUUACACUGGUCUUGUAAGCCAAAAACGGAGAACAAAUCUUCUUGGGGCA
rnacentral:tRNA from 1 species